rfam:Spinacia oleracea cultivar SynViroflay scaffold15425.con0003.1, whole genome shotgun sequence.
AACCUACUAGCUCAAUUGGAAGAGCAUUGUGCAAAAGCGCAAAAGAUGUGGGUUCGAAUCCCACGUGGGUUU